GACGAACGCUGGCGGCGUGCUUAACACAUGCAAGUCGAACGGAAAGGCCCUGCUUUUGUGGGGUGCUCGAGUGGCGAACGGGUGAGUAACACGUGAGUAACCUGCCCUUGACUUUGGGAUAACUUCAGGAAACUGGGGCUAAUACCGGAUAGGAGCUCCUGCUGCAUGGUGGGGGUUGGAAAGUUUCGGCGGUUGGGGAUGGACUCGCGGCUUAUCAGCUUGUUGGUGGGGUAGUGGCUUACCAAGGCUUUGACGGGUAGCCGGCCUGAGAGGGGGACCGGCAAUAGGGGAGAGAGGGCCAGGCCAGGCCGCAGUGGGGGGGAGGAAGGGGGGAGUGGGACCAAGGGGGAGGGACGCGGCGGCGGCACCGCCGGGGGGGGGGGGGGGGCCUGCGGUUGUAAGCCCGCUUGCCCCGUGGAGGGAGGGGGGGGGAGGGUAGUGGGAAAAGAAGCCCGGGCUAACUAGGUG
rnacentral:rRNA from 1 species